UACGUAGGGGGCUAGCGUUGUUCGGAAUCACUGGGCGUAAAGCGCACGUAGGCGGCUGUGCCAGUCAGGGGUGAAAUCCCGGAGCUCAACUUCGGAACUGCCUCUGAUACAGCACGUCUUGAGUCCGGAAGAGGUGGGUGGAAUUCCUAGUGUAGAGGUGAAAUUCGUAGAUAUUAGGAAGAACACCGGUGGCGAAGGCGGCCCACUGGGCCGGUACUGACGCUGAGGUGCGAAAGCGUGGGGAGCAAACAGG
rnacentral:rRNA from 1 species